GCCAGGCGUGGUGGCACAUGCCUGUAAUCCCACCUACUUGGGAGGCCGAAGUGGGAGGAUCGCUUGAGCCCAGGAGUUCUGAACUAUAGUGUGCUAUGCUGAUCGGGUGUCUGCACUAAGUUCGGCAUCAAUAUGGUGACCUCCCGGGAGCGGGGACCAUCAGGUUGCCAAAGGAGGGGUGAACUGGCCCAGGUCAGAAACGGAGCAAGUCAAAACUCCUGUGCUGAUCAGCAGUGGGAUCACGCCUGUGAAGAGCCACUGCAUCUCACUCCAGCCUGGGCAACAUAGCCAGACCGCGUCUCU
rnacentral:SRP_RNA from 1 species